ensembl:lncRNA
CGUCGUUUGUCCACGUGAGCUUCAUUCAGCUGAGCGCUGCAGAGAUGAAUGGCUGGGGUUUGUUUGAACAAUCUUAUGCUUAAUAUAUUUCCUGCUCACAAAUGUUAUAAAUGUCUUGUAUGUGUAUGUUCUGUUCGUUGCUCUCUGGUGUUUUGAGUCGCGUGCAUGCAGUGAAACCGCACAGCCACGCGGAUGGAGCUGUACAAACACCUCUAAUGAGACAUGAACGCUUAUUUAACGCAGUGAUGAUUUUUCCGUUUAUGUAAUCAUGCCUGCGCUCGGCAGCGUGAAAGCAGCAUUUGAUCGUGAAAUCACGCCAUAUAUAUUUGUGAAGCAGACUGAAGUCCUGGAAUGCUUGAGUGCGGGGGUGUCUGUCUGUCCCUUCACUGCAGUCACACAUCUGACCAGCAUAUGCAUGCCUCACACUGCAAACACAGAAAUAAACGGCUUUGAAAAUGUUAUUUGAAUUGUUUACAGGGGGUGGAAGAUGGAAACGCUGGAAAAAUGGAGCAGAGACAUCAUGGAACCUCAUCAGCUGGAUAAGAAAGAGCAGUCCAAACAAAAUGGCUCCUGUCCAGAUCUGAUGCAUAGGAACGAGCAGCCUGACUCCCGGCCGCUUGCCAUGGCCUUGACACCCCAGCUACCCCCCAGGACCCAUCGGCCCCUGUGUCUCUCAGUGUCCUCUGACAGCAGUGGACGCUUCAAAGCUCUGGAGACCCAGGAAUGGAAGAACAACCUCAAAGCUCAGAUGGAGCAGGCCCAUAGUGCCGGAGCAGCCAGCAGUACAGGUUCCCUUGAAAGAGCGUCUCUCUUUUGUGCUUCUGGCUCCACCACCCCCUCCAGCUCUGGCCUCUCCAGUCCGGUGGAGCACCUCACCAAGAGCAAGUCCUCUAGUCGCUUUUCACUCUUCUCCCCACCUUGGAACAGCAGCUCUGAGUCCGACUCCAAUCCACCUUCCCGCUCCGGAUCCAAGAAAAUGCACAACUACAGUCGCAGAGCCGGUCCCGGCAGUGCCAAAACGGGCCCAGAGACUCCAGAACCCAAGCAGAGCAUCCCUGAGCACUUCCAGUACUCAGAUCCGGUCAUAUCCAAGGUUACAGACUACAUUUAUGUGGGGAACCUGAACGCGGCUUAUAGUGGACGUACGUUGUGCCGUAAUAACAUCGACAGCAUCAUCGACAUGAGCAGCCUACCCGGGGAGACUUGUUUGAGAGUCAUUCCUUGCACUUGUUCAAGGGGUGUAAAGCAUAGUUGGUCUCGGCUCAAAGUAGACAUGACCGACCUUCCGGACACUGUCCAAGAAGGGCUGGCACUCAAGCACCGCUGCUUUGAGGACAUCAAUGAGUGCAUCGAUGCCUCCACGGAGAAGAGGAAGCGAGUGUUAGUGCAUUGUCGUGAUGGUUUUUCCCUUGCCCCCACUUGCAUUAUUCAGUACCUCAUGGUAAAACAAAAUAUGAGGCUUAUAGCUGCCUACGAGCUGCUCCGAGCCAGACACCCUGUAAACAUUCGAGAUUCCCAUCAAAACGUUCUGGUAAGUCUGGAAAGAGCUCUGAGACCGGGUGGGAACACGAAUCCAGAGUGCUUUAAACAGGCCAUCUCCCGCAAAGUGGCUUGGACCUGAUAGCGAACCUUGGGGGGCCCCCCUUCCCUUCCCUUCCCUUCCCUUCCCUUCCCUUCCC